GGACAUGGCUAAGAAGACAUAUUUCUUAAAAUGUGGACAUGGACUAAAUCUGUGGACAAAAAUUCGUGGACAAAAUCUGUGUAGGGUAAAAGGUCAUUUAUUCCUUCAAAGCUACACUGAUUUCAAUCAAGACACAAGGUAAUAGAGAGACUCGUUGACGGGAGAACCCUAAAACCAGACAAUCUGACAGAUCUCGGUGGAGGCUUCUCGGGAGUUCCCAAAUAAACAUGAAAUUGGGUAUCGUUUUGUGCUUUCGGUGAAAUUAGGGUUGAACUGGGAAAGUGAAUUUGAGUUGGGAGAAAAAACCAAAGAAAAUUGGAGAAAUUGCAGAGAUGGGGAUUGGAGAAUCAAACAAGCGGCAUGCCCUCUUCCUUCUCCGAUCUUCUCCGAUAAUUGAAGGUAUGGAAGCGUCGUGAGAUUAAGGUUAGGAAAAGGAUAAUUGAUGGAAAAGAGAAAGUAGAUCUGAGAAUCAUAGUGGGAGAGAGAAAAAUAG
rnacentral:lncRNA from 1 species